AAAGAGAGAAAAACGAAAACCAAAACAAAGCAGAAACAACUUUUGGUUAGUGACAUUCGGACGGGAUUUUUUGUUUCUCAGUAGCCGGCGGCGGAUUGAGUGGCAAUCAUUGUUGAACGGCGAUAUCUUUCGAGUUCCUCGCAGAUCUCAACAACUAAGGUAGUAGGUAAGUGAUCUGAUCUCUCUGUAAUUCUGGUUCUUGGAAACCCAGAUUUCUCCUAUCAGCCUUUACUGAUCUGAGCACUCAGCCAUCUGAUGGUGCUCCAAUUUUGAUCUCGUGUUAGGCCAAGUAAGAGGGUGGAUCGAUCCAAUUUGAGGAUAUAAAGUCUGUAUUUGCUUUUGAUUAUGGACUGUUUAGGGUGAACUUUUACCUCUUUGCUAUUAAAUUUGUAAUUAUUUCUAUUAAUUUUUGGUUAUUUGGGGAAUGUAAUAUAAAAAUGUUUCUAGGGUUAGUAUGAGUAGUCUACAAAAUAGUGUAGCCAUUGUUGUCUAUAUAAUGUUUGAAAGAACUUGACAAAGAAAAAAAAAAGUUGGAAUA